CUGGAUCAGUGGCGAACGGGUGAGUAACACGUGGGCAACCUGCCCUUCACUUCGGGAUAACUCCGGGAAACCGGGGCUAAUACCGGAUACGAGGCCUGCAGGCAUCUGCGGGUCUGGAAAGUUUUUCGGUUGAAGAUGACCUCGCGGCCUAUCAGCUUGUUGGUGAGGUAAUGGCUCACCAAGGCGACGACGGGUAGCCGGCCUGAGAGGGCGACCGGCCACACUGGGACUGAGACACGGCCCAGACUCC
rnacentral:rRNA from 1 species